GAUGAACGCUGGCGGCGUGCCUAAUACAUGCAAGUCGAGCGAACGGACGAGAAGCUUGCUUCUCUGAUGUUAGCGGCGGACGGGUGAGUAACACGUGGAUAACCUACCUAUAAGACUGGGAUAACUUCGGGAAACCGGAGCUAAUACCGGAUAAUAUUUUGAACCGCAUGGCUCAAAAGUGAAAGACGGUCUUGCUGUCACUUAUAGAUGGAUCCGCGCUGCAUUAGCUAGUUGGUAAGGUAACGGCUUACCAAGGCAACGAUGCAUAGCCGACCUGAGAGGGUGAUCGGCCACACUGGAACUGAGACACGGUCCAGACUCCUACGGGAGGCAGCAGUAGGGAAUCUUCCGCAAUGGGCGAAAGCCUGACGGAGCAACGCCGCGUGAGUGAUGAAGGUCUUCGGAUCGUAAAACUCUGUUAUUAGGGAAGAACAUAUGUGUAAGUAACUGUGCACAUCUUGACGGUACCUAAUCAGAAAGCCACGGCUAACUACGUGCCAGCAGCCGCGGUAAUACGUAGGUGGCAAGCGUUAUCCGGAAUUAUUGGGCGUAAAGCGCGCGUAGGCGGUUUUUUAAGUCUGAUGUGAAAGCCCACGGCUCAACCGUGGAGGGUCAUUGGAAACUGGAAAACUUGGGUGCAGAAGAGGAAAGUGGAAUUCCAUGUGUAGCGGUGAAAUGCGCAGAGAUAUGGAGGAACACCAGUGGCGAAGGCGACUUUCUGGUCUGUAACUGACGCUGAUGUGCGAAAGCGUGGGGAUCAAACUGGAUUAGAUACCCUGGUAGUCCACGCCGUAAACGAUGAGUGCUAAGUGUUAGGGGGUUUCCGCCCCUUAGUGCUGCAGCUAACGCAUUAAGCACUCCGCCUGGGGAGUACGACCGCAAGGUUGAAACUCAAAGGAAUUGACGGGGACCCGCACAAGCGGUGGAGCAUGUGGUUUAAUUCGAAGCAACGCGAAGAACCUUACCAAAUCUUGACAUCCUUUGACAACUCUAGAGAUAGAGCUUUCCCCUUCGGGGGACAAAGUGACAGGUGGUGCAUGGUUGUCGUCAGCUCGUGUCGUGAGAUGUUGGGUUAAGUCCCGCAACGAGCGCAACCCUUAAGCUUAGUUGCCAUCAUUAAGUUGGGCACUCUAAGUUGACUGCCGGUGACAAACCGGAGGAAGGUGGGGAUGACGUCAAAUCAUCAUGCCCCUUAUGAUUUGGGCUACACACGUGCUACAAUGGACAAUACAAAGGGCAGCGAAACCGCGAGGUCAAGCAAAUCCCAUAAAGUUGUUCUCAGUUCGGAUUGUAGUCUGCAACUCGACUACAUGAAGCUGGAAUCGCUAGUAAUCGUAGAUCAGCAUGCUACGGUGAAUACGUUCCCGGGUCU
rnacentral:rRNA from 1 species